UUGAAAGGGAAACGAUUGAAGUCAGUCGUACCGACGAGAAAUCAACUUAUCGUGUGCGAACUUGUGGGCGUGCGUGAGUUUCGGCCUCGCUGUUUGCAUGUUUGUGCGCUUUGAGUGUACUUUUUCGUAUGGUAGGCCAACGUCAGUUUCGAUUAUCAUAAAAUGACCGGCGGAAUGUAGCUUCGAUUUCGGUUGAAGUGUUAUAGCCUCUGGUAGAUGUGGUGAUUGGGACUGAGGAUUGCAACGAAUGCCCUUUGGGCUAUCCGUCUGACCUCUGAAAGUUGCUUAGGUGCCGAAAGCGUGCUUACGGUCAUCUAAGAUAACGUUCAACAGGUUAGAACGUGAUUACAUUCGUUAAGGAUGUUGACGUA
rnacentral:rRNA from 1 species